CUCAGUUACAGGCAGACAGUCACACACAGUCACAGGCAGACAGUCACACAUACACAUUUCCUCCGUGCGGCACCCUAACUACCAUGGGACACUGUGCGGCCACAGCUCACACAGCCCUCUCCAGCCAGGGCCGGUGCAAGGAUUUUUGCCGCCCUAGGCAAAAGUAAAGUUUGCCGCCCCCCCCCAUGUGACAUCACAAUGCC